UGAUUUUUCCUUCAUUUUGUUAAUGUGGUGUUUUAAAUGACUCAUUUUAUUGUGUUGAACUACUCUUUCAUUCUAGAAUAAACCCCAUUUGGUCACAGUGUAAAUUUUUCUUAAUAUUCUAUUGGAUUCCCUUUUCCAGUAUUGCAUAUAGGAUAGUUACAUCUGUAUUCAUAAAGGAUAUUGGUGUGUAGUUUUCCUUUCUUGUGCUGUCAUGUCUGGCUUGGGGUCAGGGUAAUGCUAGACGUUGAAGGACAAUAAAAACACCACAAAGCUUUCCUGCCAUAUUUAAGUUGUCUGUUAUUGACUCAGCGAUUGCUUGAUUCCAUGAACCUUUGACUGCUUUCCAGAGUUCUGACAAAGUGGAUUGUGCUGUUUUUCCUUGAUUUUUUCAAUGAUUCUGUGGCGAGAUGGACACUUCAAGCUGCCUACCUUGCCAUUUUUGCUGACAUCUCGUCACACCCAUUAUUGAUCUUGGGAAAUCUAGACCAAUAUUACUAAAGCAACUGUAUGCAUUCUGUUUACUUUCACCAUUAAUAAAAAUGAUUUUAACCC
rnacentral:lncRNA from 10 species